GACUUAGAGAGGCUAUUUAGCCAGCAGCAACUAACUGUUUGCCAGGUGCACUCAGAAUUUGUUGCAAGUGUGUUCUCACCUGCCCUCCAACACACUUUGCCAUUUAAGGUAAGCCUUUUUUGCUUUUAUCUUAAGUGAUUCUAGCCUGAAUUAUGGAGUUUUGAUUUUGUUCAGCUUUUCUUUCUCUUUUUUUUUUUUCCCUUCCGUAUGUCUUAUCUUGAGACUGCAGAGAGAGCUUCAGAGUGAGGGAAAUGUUCUGCGAAAUCCAAACAUUUUAAGCUGUGCUGCAUGUUCCCAACCCAUGCCAGAUGGAUAUAAGUAGACAUGUGCAAUUCGUUUCGAAUGUGAAUUCGGACGAAUUUUGGGCAAUUCGGACAUUCGGGUACUUCCGAGUGUCCGAAUAGAUGACUUGCCGAAUGGUUGAUGUCCCGAAAUUCAGAAAUUACUGAAUUGUCGAAGUGCCGAAGCACAGUAUUCCUUAAGAACUAAUAUACUUACCUAGUGAAAGAAUGAGAAUGUUACACUGUAUACAAAUUUAAAUAAAAAGUAUACAAACAUAGCCAGGAUUCAGCUGUAAGCAUUUGCAACACUUACAACAAUAAAGUAACACACAUUCAUAUAAAAUGUAAGUUACUUAGCCAGUCAAUGUAAUGACAGGAAUGAAUAAGUAGAUAAAUCCCUAAUUCCCAUGGUAUUAGGGAGCUAUCUGCUGAAAGACCUAAAUUGGUUUACUUAGUAUUAGUAAAUUAUGCCCCUACUCGCUAUACCGCGAGUAGGGGCAUGUCUAUUAAACAGUGAGCAGCCUAUGGCGGGUGGGGGCCCUACAGUAAAAUAAGGGGGGGGACCCUAAAUUUUAGGGGGGGACCCUAAAUACUUAACUGCUCACUGUUUAAUAGUCAUUUUUACUUAGUAUUAGUAAAUUUGGCUGAAAGACCAAUUUAGGUCUUUCAGCCUUUUGGUAGAUAGCGCACUAAUACCAUGGGAAUUAGGGAGUAACCUACUAAGCGGCUGCAAAAGAAGUCCCGAAAUUCCAAACUGUCGAAGUUGCCGAAGUUCUGAAGUGUUGAAAUGCCAAAUUGCAAAAUUUUGGAAUGCCGAACCGAACUGAAAAUUUUCCCCAUGCACAUGCCUAAAUAUAAGUGCAAAAUUUGUUCCAAUUGUACUAGGCUUCUGAGGAAGCAAAGAAAACUGAAAUGUCUACAUUCCUAAAUUGGUUCCAGCAAAUUCUGCAACAAACAUUUGUUGAAAUGCAGACUGCAGCCGUUCAGUCUGCUCAGGCCUCUGCUUCCCAGGAUUCUACAGUAUUAAAUCCGUCUAGGCCUAAAAAGGCCUAGAUCCUGGGAAUUGUCUGACGUAAGCUCUGCUUCUUCUAUGUCAGAAUCAAGAAAUGAGGAUUCUAGUGAUUGCUCUGAGGAAGAAUUUUCUUUUCCAGAGGAAUCUAUUGGUGAAAGUACAGUGCCUGAUGGGUUAUAAGGAACACUUCAGGAGCAAAGGAAAUAAAUCCAAAGCUUUUCCGUUUCAUCCACAAUUAAAGGAUUUGAUUCUAAGGGAAUGGAAAUUCCCAGGAAGAAAGCCUUUUAUUUCUAAACAUUUUAAAGCUAUUUGCCAUCAAUAAGGAUCCUGAGUGCCUCCUGGAUCCUUUACCUUCAGUAGACGUCCCUAUAGCUCAGCUGGGAAAGAAAACCAAGUUACCUAUAGUGGAUUCAAGUGGCUUAAAAGACGCCAUGGAGAAACGUAUUGAUUCUUCCUUAAAGGACCACUCUAGGCACCCAGACCACUUCAGCUUAAUGAAGUGGUCUGGGUGCCAGGUCCAGCUAGGGUUAACCCAUUUUUUUAUAAACAUAGCAGUUUCAGAGAAACUGCUAUGUUUAUAAAUGGGUUAAGCCUUCCUCCAAAGCCCCUAGCGGCUGUCUCAUUGACAGCCGCUAGAGGCGCUUGCGUGUUUCUCACUGUGAAAAUCACAGUGAGAGCACGCAAGCGUCCAUUGGAAAGCAUUGUAAAUGUGACCGGCUGAAUGCGCGCGCAGCUCUUGCCGCGCGUGCGCAUUCAGCCUAAUGGGCGGAGAGGAGGAGGAUCGGAGGAGGAGAGCUCCCCUCCCAGCGCUGGAAAAAGGUAAGUUUUUACCCCUUUCCAGAGCCGGGCGUGAGAGGGUCCCUGAGGGUGGGGGCACCCUCAGGGCACUAUAGUGCCAGAAAAACGAGUGUUUUCCUGGCACUAUAGUGAUCCUUUAAAGAAACUGUUUUUUUUUCCUCCGCAUCUCAAUCCAAAGCACGGAUUGCAGGUACCUCAGUGGCAAAGGCACAGAAACAUUGGCUGGAAGAAUUAGAAAAGACUUCUGCGGGUGAAUCCAAAGAAGAUCCAGUCAAGUUGUUGCAAAAUAUCAAGAUGGCAUCUAACUUUCUAGUUGAUUCCUCUUCAGAAGGUCUGAAGACAAUGGGUUUAUCCACAGUGGCAAGAAGAGCAAUUUGGCUAAGAAACUGGCCGGCUGACUCAGCAUCCAAAAAUUAUUUGUGACCUUCCAUUUGAACCAGGCAGACUUUUUGGUUCUAAACUGGAUGAUAUUUUGAAACAAAUGAAGGCUGGUAAAAAGGCUUUACCUGAAGAUAACAGGAAGCAUAAUUGGAAUAAAAGAUAUAUUUUAUUUUUUUUAUUUUUUUUAAAGUCCAAUCUGCUUACAGGGGAUCCUUUCAGAAGAACACUUACAGAGGUCAACAAAGGAAGGUGUUUGAUUACAGGAUAAAAGAGAAGUUCUCUGAUAAAAGGUAUACAAAUUUAUGACGCCAUUCCUAUUGGAGAAAGACUCACUCAUUUCCUGGAUUCCUGGCAGAAAACUACCUCUGAUCACUGGGUUCUUUCAGUAAUAAGGAAGGGUUACUAUCUGGAUUUAGCAGAGAUCCCAAAAAGAAAAUUCUUAUGCUCUACAGUCCACUCGCGGGUGAAAGAAAAAGUGCUAAUGGGAGAAGUGUCAAAACUUCUUCAAAAGAAUGUCAUAGAAAGUGUGCAUCCAAAAGACAGAUUUCUGGGCACUUAUUUAAGACUCUUUUUGGUUCCAAAGCCAGACGGUUCUUUCAGACCCAUUCUAGAUCUCAAGACCGUCAACAAAUUUAUUCUAAAAAAUAAGUUUCAUAUGGAAACAAAGUCUGCAACUCGUAUGAUUUCAACGAGAAAACUGUCUGAUUUCUCUGGAUCUAAAAGACGCCGAUCUACACGUUCCCAUCGCAGACCCCAGGAAAAGAUUCCUAAGGUUCGCUAUCAACUUCCAGAGUCGGACUCUUCAUUACAAGUUCAGAGCUCUUCCCUUUGGUUUGUCUUCAGCCCCAAGAGUGUUCACAAAGAUUCUGGUAGUAACUUCAGCAGAUUUAAGGGGAAAAGGCAUCAAUGUCAUCCCUUAUUUAGACGACUGGCUUUUGAUUGCAGACUCCAAAGAAAAACUUUAUCUAGACCUCAAUACGGCUUUAGACACUUUAAACAAAUCAUGGUUGGUUGAUAACUUUCGUAAAGUAGGAAUUGGUCCCAGUUCAAAGAAUUCAGUUCCUGGGUCUAAUUAUAGACACACUCGUUAUGAAAAUAUUCCUUCCAGAAGAAAAAAGAACAAAGAUUGUUCUGGCUAUUCAGAAACUCAGAGAAAGAAGUUGGUGCUCCAUCAGAGAUGCAAUGAGUUUGCUGGGUCUUUUCACAGCCUCCAUCCCAGAAGUCAAUUGUGCAAAGGCCAGAAUGAGACCCCUUCAAAGAAACAUUUUAAGCUGCUGGAACAGGCAAACUUACAGCUUGGACAUGCCUUUUGAAACUCAACAGUCAGGCGCUGAAGAGUUUUCUCUGGUGGACCUCGUCUCGUUUCCUGUAAACAGGCCUCUCGUUCCAAAUGAAGUCAGUCAAAGUUUUAACAGAUGUCUCAGGUCGCGUCUGGGGUGCUCAUUUAGGAGAAAAGAAGAAACCAGGAGUUUGGCAAGUAAAAGAUUUAAGAAGUUAAUCGAACUACAAAGAACUGAAGACUGUCUGGCUGGCUCUCAUUGCUUUUCGGAAUCAGAUCCAGAAUCAACAUGUCCAGAUCAGGUCAGACAAUUCUACAACAGUAGCUUAUAUAAACAAACAAGGAGGAACAAGAUCAAAGAGUUUGGAAGAUAUGUGUUCCAGAAUCAUGCUGUGGUCAGAGUUCCACCUUCUGUCAAUUUCAGCGGUUCACUUAAAAGGAGAAUUCAAUGUACUGGCAGGCGCUCUAAGUCGUCAACAUUUAAAGCAAGCAGAUUGGUCCCUUUCUUCCCAGAUCUUCAGUCAAAUCACAAAGAAAUUCGGUUAUCCAGAAAUAGACCUUAUGGCUUCAAGAUCAAACAAGAAAACAAGAAGAUUUGUUUUAAAUGUUUUAUUUUGUGUUGCAAGUACAAGCAUGUAGUUGGUCUUGUUUCAUGGAAAGCAUAUGAUUGCCCGCGCAGAGGCGUUUCAGAUAAAACAUGCAGUUACAUUAGGUUCAAGGGCUUUUAACAGUUAUGUGCUUAAUGGACCACUCUAGGCACCCAGACCACUUCAGCUUAAUGAAGUGGUCUGGGUGCCAGGUCCAGCUAGGGUUAACCCAUUCUGUGAAACUGCUAUGUUUAUGAAUGGGUUAAGCCUUCCCCCUAAUCCUCUAGUGGCUGUCUCAUUGACAGCCACUAGAGGCGCUUGCGUGCUUCUCACUGUGAUUUUCACAGUGAGAGAACGCAAGCGUCCAUAGGAAAGCAUUAUGAAUGCUUUCCUAUGUGACCGGCUGAAUGCGCGCGCAGCUCUUGCCGCGCGUGCGCAUUCAGCCGACGGGGAGGAGAGAAGGAGGAUCGGAGGAGGAGAGCUCUCCGUCCAGCGCUAGAAAAAGGUGAGUUUUAACCCCUUUCCUCUCCCCAGAGAGGGGGAGUGUUUUCUUGGCACUAUAGUGGUCCUUUAAUAAAUCAAGUUGACUUCGUUCAUGCUGUGACUUUGGGCUAGAUUUCAGUAUACUUGUUGUUUGUCAUCCAGCGAUGUAGUGCUAGAUAUAAGCAGGUAAGCGGAGUUGCUUCCGGAGAGACAUAGCGUUGCCGACGCUGAGUCACAAAGUCAGUCUUUGAGUGUAGUUUCUCGUUUCGUUUGGGAGUAUUGGUAGGUACUCGUGUUGUGUUGCCUGUGCCUAGCCUCUUUGUGUAGGUGUGGGGCAUAGACUGUGCGCUCAGGUGAUGGUUUUAUCCAUUGUUUUAAGUUGCCCGGGUGGUCGUUAUUGUGCCCGAAACCUGUUGUGGCUGUAUGUUAUUCUCUGCGUAGGUGGCCUAGAGAGGCAGCUGUUGUCUAACCUGUCACUGGUGGCUGCGUGAUCGGUGCAUGUGUGUGACAUUGCUCCUUGUGGGGCGUGUCUCCCUCAUUCCUGCCCUCCGGUGCUUGGUAGCGCCAGCGGUUGCGCUGGGGCGUGUGGGGGUAGGCAUCUCGGGUGGACUGGUCGCAGUAUGUCAUGUUGCCCCCUUCUCCGAGGCAGUGUGUGGUCAUGAGGUCAUGUCACCGUGUGGCGGUGGAGCGUGGGUCUAGGUCUCGUGUUGGGCAGGUCUGUGUGGGUCCGCAUUCCACGUUGGGGGCUGUUGCCUUACGGGGCCUGGUCCUUAGUGUGGUUCAUGUUGCCUCCAGUCAGUGAUUGGGUUGUGUGAGGUUGGCGCACACUGGGGGGGAGGAAAAAGGGGGGGAGGGGGAGGGACGGAAAGGGGGGGGAAAGGAGGUGGGGAAAGGGGGAUGUGGGUGAGGGCAACCCGUCUAGGGGCCACCCCAGGUGCAGGCGCCCGGUUGUCUUGUAGUUGCGUGUCCUUGGUUUAGGGUGGGUUCAGGCAUUGUAAGAACUCAUCUGUAGCGAUGUCUCGUAUCCAGUGGAACCAUGAGCUUUUCUUUUGCCGCUGCCGUGGUGGCUUUCAGGUCCUCGAAUUUUCUUGUGUCCUCCUUCUCCUUAACCCACGUGGUUGUUUCCAGAAUAUGGGGAUAGUCGGGAAAACAAGAAGAUUUGGAUCUCUAAACCUGGCAGACAGACCAGAGGUCAUAGACUCCCUGGAAGUUCGAUCUGGUUUACGUGUUUCCUCCUAUUUCUCUUAUUCCCAGAAUUCUUCAGAAGAUCAGGAUAGAAAGGGUGAGAAUAAUCAUAAUUCUCCCUUGGUGGCCGAGAAGAAGUUGGUUCUCAGUUCUCCUAAAUAUUCCCGGAUCAACCUUUUGGAAACCUUCCCCUGUCAGCAGACAUAAUGGAACACUCCAUGGUACCUUUUCUGAUUCUGAAAUUCAAAUUGACGGCAUGGUGUCUGAAUACCAGAUAGAAAGGGUUUGUCUCUUGAUGUUAAGAUUUUGAUGGCUGCUAAAAAGGAUUCUACCUCCAAGAUUUAUUCCAGAAUAUGGAAGAAGUUUUGUUCUUGGUGUGUCAGGAUCAAGGAAAAUCCAGUCUCCGCUUCCAUUCCAAACAUCCUUAGUUUCCUUCAGAUGGGCUUUGUGAAAGGUUUAAAACCAGCCACACUCAAAGUCCAACUUUCAGCUAUCAGCUUCUUUUCAUUCAGAUGCUUGGCUUCAAAUAUCCUAAUCUCCAGAUAUUUUAAGGCGCUGUUUCGUUUGGUUCCUACCAUCAGGGAAACUUGUUCUCCAUGGGAUCUUAAUUUGGUUUUAUCAGCUCUCUGCAAACCUCAGUUUGAACCUCUAGAAAAGUCUUCUCUGAAGGUUUUAUCAUUCAGUUUGUUUUUGGUGGCCAUUACCUUGACUUAAAGAUUGGGAGAACUUCAAGCUCUUAAUGUGACUUUUCCUUUUUUAGUCUUCCAUCAAGACAAAGUAGUGUUAAAGCUGGAUCCUUCUUUUAUCCCCAAGGUAUAUUCUUCCUCUACCAUCAAUCAAGAAUUGAUUUUACCUACUUUUUGCCAACAGCCUUCUAAUGCGUUAGAAGUUAAAUUCCACUGUCUGGACGUUAAGAGACCUCUGCUUCAGUACCUGGAAAGUACAAAUGCCUUUAGGAAAUCUAACAGACUUUUUUUAGUCUUGUUUCAUGGCCCUAGGAAAGGUUUGAUGGCUUCAAAAGGAUGUCUGGCCAGAUGGUUAAAGGAAUGCAUUCGUCUGGCUUAUUCCUCAUCCAACAUUGCGAUGCCUUUCUCCAUUAAAGCUCAUUCAACCAGAGCUAUAUCCACAUCGUGGGCCCUUCGGGCUUCAGCUACGCAUUCUCAAAUUUGUUCUGCAGCCACGUCGUCAUCUCUUCAUACGUUUGCUAAACAUGACAAAUUUGACAUACUGGCCUCGGAGAACGCAUCUUUUGGGCGCAAGGUGUUACAAGCUGUUGUGAAAUGAGUCCCGCCCUUAGGGUAUUGCUUUGAUUAUCCCUGUUUAGCACUGCCUCUAAUCUGAAGGGAAAAGCAUACAUUUUUUACUUACUAUAAAUUUAUUUUUCCUGAAGAUUAGAGGCAGUGCUCACUCCACACCCCUCCUCCCCCUCUAUGUUCUAAUAAAGUAAUUUUGCAGUUAACCGACUUUUGUAUUUUCUGGGGAUGUUUGGGGUAAGUGUCAAUUUAUAGGACAAGAUGGAAUUAGGGGAGGUAUUUUAAAAAGUUUUGGGGAUUGUCGGCCUGUUUUUUCCCUCCUGAUUAGAAAUCCCUGUUAAGCACUGCCUCUAAACUUCAGGAAAAAUAAAUUUACGGUCAGUAAAAAUUUUUGUGUAUGUGUGUAUAUAUAUAUAUAUAUAUGUAUAUAUAUAUAUAUAUAUAUAUAUAUAUAUAUAUAUAUCAUGAAAAAAAUUAAAUAUAAAGAUAUGUGUAUUUCAUUAACUAAUGGCCCCAAGGGGUUUGUGUACUCGCUAUAAAGCGAGGUGUUUUGAAUUGACUUCGCAAUUGCAAAAUGUUGGCUUAAACAAAGCUUGGGAAACACAAUUCCCUUUGACUUUUUUGACUUACAUUUGUAGCUAUUCUGGUGACUAAAUUAAAUUUAUGCUAUUUUACCACUUUCUUGCUUUUCCUUAUUUUUCAGCUUCCAUACCUGUUGGAUGGCGAUGUCAAGCUAACUCAGAGCAAUACCAUCCUGCGCUAUAUCGCAAGCAAGCAUGGAUUGUGUAAGAGUUUUUUUUUUUUUUUUUUUGUAGACCACUACACUUUAAAAACACACACAGACACGUCUUCAUUUUAACUCAUGGACAUGUGUUGCUCAUGACUCUCGUGGGGUUUAAAAUCUAAAGGGGUGACUUUGAAUUCAUAAUAGCUAAUUGCAAUCAGUACUGAAAAGAUUGGAAUAAAGAAAAAGAUCAACUAAAAAGUAACAAAUUUGUUUGGCUUAUUAUCAUGUAGCUUAUCAAACAAUGUUGUAGUUUCUAAUGUUAAUAAGUACAAUGCCUUUGAUCCAAAGUGUGUAUUUUAAAAGUGGACCUAACAGUGUCUGUCUGGUUUCCUCAUGUUUUGUAUUAUUGUAAAGUGGUGAUCCACUAAUUUAAAAAGAAAAUAAAGUGCUAUUAUGCAAAUUAGGCUUCUCUCCCUGCUUGUGGAAGUGGUAAGCAACAUGUAUUGGUUUUGUCAUGUAGCAGGUGAGCAGUGGAGGGUAAUACCGUAUUUUCCGGCGUAUAAGACGACUUUUUACCCCUGGAAAAUCUUCUCCAAAGUGGGGGGUCGUCUUAUACGCCGGGUAUAUGGCUGCUGGGGGCGCCCUGCGCCCCCAUCGCCGGCCCUUCUAAUGCUGCAGCCGCCUGAGCGCUCUAUAGAGAGAGCGCUCAGACGGCUGCCGCACUGCCUCUCUUACCUCCCCUUCCCUGUGCAGCGUGGGUGGCUGAGCUCCUCUUCGUCCUGUCAGUCCGGCAGGACGACGCGGUACAGGAGAUUCAGUUACCUGAGUGCUCACUUCCUUUCAGUAGGCCGGGAACAGGUAACUGAAUCUCCUGUACCGCGCGGUACCCGGCCGGACUGACAGAAUGAAGAGGAGCUCGGCCACCCACUCUGCACAUGGAAGGGGAGGUGAGAAGGAGGGAGGGGGGAGUAAAAAAAUUGGGGGGGUGAGUAAAAAAAAAUUGGAGAGGUGGAUUAAAAAGAGAAUGGGGGGGAUUAAAAAAGAAUGGGGGGGAUUAAAAAAGAAUGGGGGGGGGGGAUUAAAAAGAAUAUCGCAAUUGGCCUCCUGUGUGCUAGACCAGCAUGCAUGGAUUAUAUGCCCAAACAGCCUGGCACAUACCUGGGCUUUAACCCCUUAAGGACACAUGACAUGUGUGACAUGUCAUAAUUCCCUUUUAUUCCAGAAGUUUGGUCCUUAAGGGGUUAAAUGCUAUUUCAGAUUAUCAUUAUUUAAAGUACCACUCUAGGUACCCAGACCACUUCAGCUUAAUGAAGUGGUCUGGGUGCCAGGUCCAGCUAGGAUUAACCCAUUUUUUUUAUAAACACAGCAGUUUCAGAGAAACUGCUAUGUUUAUAAAUGGGUUAAUCCAGCCUCUAAAGCCUCUAGUGGCUGUCUCAUUGACAGCCGCUAGAGGCGCUUGCGUGAUUCUCAUUGUGAAAAUCACAGUGAGAGCACGCAAGCGUCCAUAGGAAAGCAUUGUAAAUGCUUUCUUAUGCGACCGGCUGAAUGCGCGCGCAGCUCUUGCUGCGCGUGCGCAUUCAGCCGAAGGGGAGGAACUGGGGAGGAUCGGAGGAGGAGAGCUCCCUGCCCAGCGCUGGAAAAAGGUAAUUUUUUUUUUUUUUUUUUUACCCCUUUCCUCUCCCCAGAGCCGGACGGGAGGGGGACCCUGAGGGUGGGGGCACCCUGAGGGCACUAUAGUGCCAGGAAAACGAGUAUGUUUUCCUGGCACUAUAGUGGUCCUUUAACGUCUUGCUGUGUAGCUCUUUCUGCUCACUGUACAUCAUGGCUAAUUUUUAUUUGGUGUGCAUUGGAAGAGGGGUAGUCUUAUACGGUGAGUAUAUCCCAAACUCUAUAUUUUAACUGGAAAAGUUGGGGGUCGUCUUAUACGCCCAGUCGUCUUAUACGCCGGAAAAUACGGUAAUCUAUUUCUAUUUUAGACUCACGCACUCUGUAAAUGAAACUAAUUAUUACUGGCUUAAACUUGUUCUCAAUACUUUACCACUGUUUCUCCUUUCCAGGUGCUGAAACUGAAAAAGAUAAGAUCAUUGAAUCCCUGCUUGAGAACCAGUUUCUGGAUUUUCGGAUGGGUCUUGUGCAUAUUGCGUACAACCCACAAUUCGUAAGUGAAGAUAAAGAUGAGAAAUGCAGAAAGUGUAUUAUCUUAACAAACUAUACAAUUAUCUUUCUUCCAGGAAACUCUCAAGGGACCAUACCUUGAAAAACUACCUACAGCCUUGGCACGUGUUUCUAAAUUCCUUGGGGACAGACAAUGGUUUGUAGGAGACAAGGUAAUCUACCACUGUUCUAGGUCUGUUUCAUUACUCGUUCAUACCUUUUGCAUGUAUGAUUUCAUUGUAUAGAUACAUGGAAUACCCCAAUUACACGGAAUUGAGUCAGGUGCUGACUAGAUAGGACGUCUAUAUUGAAAUUCUAUUAUUUUCCUAGAUCACUUUCAUUGACUUUAUCGUGUAUGAUGUUUUGGACCAGCAUCAGAUGCUAGAGCCAAUUUGUCUUCAAAACUUCCAGAACUUGCAGGACUUUCUGAACCGGUUUGAGGUAAACCUUGCAUGUUUUUCUCUUCCUUUUCGCAAUGUUAUACAGAGUAUAAUUUUAUUAUUCUUCCAUUUUUCAGGCUCUUCCUACUAUUGCUGCAUAUAUGAAGUCUCCUCGCUUUAUGAAGACCCCCAUACAUAAUCGGAUGGCAUUCUGGGCUAACAAAAAAUAAGUUGCCUCUAAAUCAAAUCCGUGUUCACAUCCCAGUCUAAGUUCUCAGUAAUCCCAUCUUUUAUUCCUACAUCUUAAUUUCAUGUAAACUCCUAACCAUAAAUCCACACUAACUACUGCUACUUCUUCGUAUUACUCAAACUGUCACUUCAAUGGGGAAAUGCCUGUUGGCAAGGAGAAGACGUUUUUGAAUAACUUUGUCUCAAAAAUGUAGAAGAAACAGCUAAAAUGUGUGGUGAAAGACAGCCUUCAUUCUUCUACCUCUCUUGGUUCAAUCAAAGCCUUAAAGCUAUAGAAGUAAAGAGUUCAUUCCAAAUGAUCAUGUGCAAAAUUGUGUUUUUGUGACAAUUGGGAUUCUCCAUCUUUUGGUACAAUAGAAACUGGGUAAGAAGCAAUUAAGAGGAAGGUGAUUUGUGUGGAUGAGUGGUGAAUGAGUAAUGAUUUGGGGAGAAAAUGGGU
rnacentral:lncRNA from 1 species